UACGAGAGGCCCAAACGUUAUUCGGAUUUACUGGGCUUAAAGAGUUCGUAGGCGGCGCAGAAAGUGGGGUGUGAAAGCCCUCGGCUCAACCGAGGAAUUGCGCUCCAAACUACUGUGCUCGAGGGACCUAGAGGUGAGCAGAACUGAUGGUGGAGCGGUGAAAUGCGUUGAUAUCAUCAGGAAUACCGGAGGCGAAGGCGGCCUGCUGGGACAGUGCUGACGCUGAGGCGCGACAGCGUGGGGAGCAAACAGG
rnacentral:rRNA from 1 species